GAAACUCAANNGAAUUGACGGGGGCCCGCACANNCGGUGGAGCAUGUGGUUUAAUUNGAAGCAACGCGAAGANCCUUACCAGGUCUUGACAUCCCGAUGCUAUUUCUAGAGAUAGGAAGUUACUUCGGUACAUCGGUGACAGGUGGUGCAUGGUUGUCGUCAGCUCGUGUCGUGAGAUGUUGGGUUAANNNNNAANNACGAGCGCAACCCCUAUUGUUAGUUGCCAUCAUUCAGUUGGGCACUCUAGCAAGACUGCCGGUAAUAAACCGGAGGAAGGUGGGGAUGACGUCAAAUCAUCAUGCCCCUUAUGACCUGGGCUACACACGUGCUACAAUGGUUGGUACAACGAGUUGCGAGUCGGUGACGGCGAGCUAAUCUCUUAAAGCCAAUCUCAGUUCGGAUUGUAGGCUGCAACUCGCCUACAUGAAGUCGGAAUCGCUGGUAAUCGCGGAUCAGCACGCCGCGGNGAAUACGUUCCCGGGCCU
rnacentral:rRNA from 1 species